CCGAUUAAGCAACUCCGCCUCGGGGAGUACGGACCGCAAGGCUGAAACUCAAAGGAAUUGACGGGACCGCGACAAGCGGUGGAGCAUGUGGUUAAUUCGACGCAACGCGAAGACCUUACCAGGUCUUGUACAUCUUUUGCUACUUCUGGAGACAGAAGGUUCCCCUUCGGGGGUACAAAAUGACAGGUGGUGCAUGGUUGUCGUCAGCUCGUGUCGUGAGAUGUUGGGUUAAGUCCCGCAACGAGCGCAACCCUUAAUCUUAGUUGCCAGCAUUCAGCUGGGCACUCUAAGGUGACUGCCGGUGACAAACCGGAGGAAGGUGGGGACGACGUCAAAUCAUCAUGCCCCUUAUGACCUGGGCUACACACGUGCUACAAUGGAUGGUACAGAGGGAUGCGAAACCGCGAGGUGGAGCCAAUCUCGCAAAGCCAUUCUCAGUUCGGAUUGCAGGCUGCAACUCGCCUGCAUGAAGCCGGAAUCGCUAGUAAUCGUGGAUCAGCAUGCCACGGUGAAUACGUUCCC
rnacentral:rRNA from 1 species